rnacentral:rRNA from 1 species
UACGGAGGGAGCUAGCGUUGUUCGGAAUUAUUGGGCGUAAAGAGCUCGUAGGCGGUGUGUCGCGUCGGCCGUGAAAACCUGGGGCUCAACUCUGGGCGUGCGGUCGAUACGGGCAUCACUUGAGUUCGGCAGGGGAGACUGGAAUUCCUGGUGUAGCGGUGAAAUGCGCAGAUAUCAGGAGGAACACCGGUGGCGAAGGCGGGUCUCUGGGCCGAUACUGACGCUGAGGAGCGAAAGCAUGGGUAGCGAACAGG